GUACAUUUGUUCCAGUUGAGAGUUCGAGGGACAGGCAGGGGUGGAGCUGGGAACUGAGGAGGGGUGAAGGGAGGUGGGUGUUGCUCAGAGCUCCCCACCUGCUAUUCCUAAUUCCAGGAAGCAGGACUGGCUGUUUCACCCUGACAGAGCUGAAUUAGAACAUAAUCUACAAGGGAGAGAAUUCUCAGCCAAAGUGGCCUUUAUAAAGAAGGCAUGAGCAUCAACUUCAGCAGCCUAGACCCUUGGCAUUGGGGACUCUCCUUUCAUCCAAAGAGCCAUCUAUUUUUUCCUUCCCCAGUGGGUUUGCUGAGUUCCAAACCAGCAGCUGCCCUUUUUCUGGACUGUGGAGAGUGUGGCAAGUGUAAAUCUUACCACCGGCUAAGCUCCUGACCUGAGGAGAAGGCUCAGCAUUAAUACUCCAGGAGGACUGGACCAGGAGACCUUGGGAAGUCAAAAAUUCAUAACCCGAUUCUAGAGAAGAAGGAUGGUGUAAUGGGAAAAGCACAGAAAUUGGACUUUGACAGCUUGUGAAAAGGAAACUCCACUGUAGAUUGGUGCUGGCAAGAACACAGGGUUCCAUCUUCCUAUAGCUCCUGGAUGGAGGGCUAUCUUCUCAGGAGAAAGAAGAAAAGCACAGUACCUGGAAGAACCAUUUGGGUUUCAGAGAAAAUCAUCCCAUACCUGGGAAUGCUGAUCCAGUCCAUCUACCUGGUGACAUGGAAGUCUACCACUUUUGAGCAGGAAAUCUGGGUAGUGAACACAGCUCUGCUGCUUAAACCAUAUGAUCCAGCAGGCCCUAUGGAGUGGGGAGAGUAACGGAUGAGCAAAUAUGCAUUGUAGAGCUUAUGGCAAGUCCCAGUGGGCUGCUGUUAUAAAAUGGGGUCAGGGUGAAAUAUGAAUGGAGCUUAUGUCAUGCAUUUGGUGCUUCUUUGUCUUGUUCCCAUUUUAACUGUGAAAGGACAAGUGUAGCAACCUCAGAAUUAGGUGUGUGUGGUUACAGGAGCUCAGGUUUCUCAGUAAUGAGGGUUUUACUCACAUCAACAAUUAAGUCACCAGGUCUAGUAGAGGUGAUAGCUGAGGGUGAGAGGAAUUUAGGAUGGCUAGUGAAGGAGGGAGACAAUGAAUUCCAGUUGUAGUUCUGAGAUGAACUGCAGCAAUGGGGGCUGUAAUUAUUUUCCCACUCACCUCCCUCCUCCCAGUUUCACUCAGGAAGCGAGGCCCUCUAGAAAACUAGACAAACUUGUUCCCAAAUGUAUAUGAGAAACUGAUCUACUCAGCACAAGGGAUGUAUUGUGGCAGCCAUGGAGGCAUGUCACUUGGAUCUCUUUUUGAGAAAGAACUUGCCAUUCAACAUGGAGGGAGGACUAAAUACUGGCAAUUCUGCCCAAUGUGGGACUCAUGUCACUGGUGUCUUUGCUCCGGAGCUCCCCAUUGGAUUGGUCAAAAAUUUAUCAAGUAUGUAUUACAGUCUAAGGCUCCUGCUACUUAGUCCUGCUUCCUUCUCCUUCAUCUUUCACAGGUGAUACCCCACUCCCAAUAAGCCUCCAGCAUUUCUAACUCCAUUUCAGCAUCUGUUUACCAGAGGUCUUAAAAUGACACAUCAUCCUCUCUCCAUUUCUCUGCAGUGCUAUCUCUGUUACAAAAGUCACCAUAUACAUGGAUCUGUUUUAGGGCUCACUUUAUCUGUGCCAGUAGCAUACCAUAUUGUUUAUGCAUUUUAUAUAUACAUAUAUUUAGCACAUAUUAUACAACUUUAUAAUAUCUGAUAUUUGGUAAAGCGAGUCCUACCACUUGGGCUUCUGCUUCUUUAAAAGUGUCCACAGUGUCCCUUAUAUUUUCAUAAGCAUUUUAAAAUUAGCUUUUAAGUUUCACACACACACACACACACAUGCAACAUUGGGGGGUUUGGUUGUGAUUGCAUUGAAUCUAUAUUUGAGGGAAUUGACAUCUUUACAAUAUGGGUCUUUAAUUUAUAAAUAAUGUAUAUCUCUUCUAUAUAGAUCUCUAGUGUCUCUCAGUAAAGCAUUAUGGUUUUCCAUAUAGAGGUCUUGCACACAUGUUAUUACAUUUAUUCCUAGGAAUUUUUUUAACUUUUUACUUUGAAAUAAAAUCAGACUUUAAAAACGUUCCAAAAAUAGAUUCCAUACCUUUCACACACACAGAUCGCCCAAAUGUUAACAAUUUACAACAUUCACUUUCUCUGCCCCCCAUAUAUUUUUCUGAAACAUUUUAGAUUAACUUGCAGACAUGAUGUUGCUUUACCUCUAUAUAGGUAUUUCUUACAAAGACUUCUCAUAUAUAACUACAGAACAAUUAUAAAAAUUAGAAAUUAACGCUGAUACCAUACUAUCAUCAAAUGUACCAGUAUCAAAUUUAAAUUUCACCAAUUGUCACACUAGCGACCUUUAUAGCAAAAGGGAAAAAACCUGGUCCAGGGUGUGAUCCAGGAUUUGAUUACAUUUAAUUGUCACGUUUUUAUAGAUUCCUUUUAAUCUUUUACAAUUGCUCAGUCUUUGUCCAGACCUUGACUUUGUAGAAUAUACAGGCCAGUUAUUUUGUAGAAUAUCCCUCAGUUUGGAUUUUUCUGAUGAUACCUCAUUAUCAGAUUUAGGUUAUACAUUUUUGGUAGGAGCACCACAGAGCGAUGCUGUGUCCUUUACAGUGCAUCAUAUCAGAGACACAUGGUACUGCUUUUUGCUUUUGCUCAUAAUGUUAACUUCAAUUACUUGAGUAAGGUGGUCCCUAACAGGCUUCUCCACUGUAAAGUUACAUUUUACCCUUUGUAUUAAUAUAUAUCUUGUAGAUAGAUACUUCAAUACUAUGUAGAUAUCCUUUUUCUCAUUAUAUUUUCACCCACUGGUUUUAGCAUCCAUUAAUGAUUCUUGCCUGAAACAAGUAUUACUGUGGUGGUUGCCAAAUGGCGAUUUUCUAGUUCCAUCAUUCCUCCUACAUUUGUUAGCUGAAACUACUGUAAGAAAGUGCUUUCCCUUUUUAAAAAUUUAUUUAUUUAUAUUAGUAUGGGCUCAUCAACAUUUGUUCUAAGGGUUACAAUUCAUUACUGUCAUUAUUUUGUUCACCAAAUUCUUCCAUAUUGGGACAGUGGAAGUCAUUUCAAGCUGGCUUCUGCAUCCUUUUGACAUUCUUUGAAUACCUCCUUACCUCUGGCACAACAGGAUAUUUCCCCUGUCCCAGCCCUGGAAUCAGCCAUUUUUGCAAGUAACCUUGGUUUUCUGCUACUGAGGAAGAGUAUUAGAAUAACAGGAUCUGGGCAUUAGACGUGCUCAUUGCUAUUAGGGCAUUGUUACUACUAGACCUUACCAGUUGACAACCAGAAAAUAUGCUAAUAAUAUAUAUUAGGAAGGAUGAGUUCAUACUAACAACUCUGAUUCAAAUCCAACACCACAGGGUUCAUUUUAGCCUUCUUCCCUUCCAUUUUGUAACUCCUUUCUCUGAUACCAAGAAACCUGAUUUUCAUUAUCCACAAUGUAUUGAUUUAUUUGCUCAGCUCUAGAAUACACAAAAGGAGUUUCAGAAUUUUUAACCUAUACCACUGCAAAAAACAUACCUACUAACUGGAGUACACUAUAUGUUUACAAUUAAUUAUUUUGUUUUUAACCUGAGGGUGUAUAGUCAAAAUGUUGUGUUCAAAAGUUUCUUGGAUUACUUCUUUCUUCACCCCUACCCCUAAACUGCUUAUAUUAAAUAUUUGAAGUAU